AAAACUUUACACCGCUGGAAACAGCGAUAAGGGGACCUUGAGUGCCAGGAUACAAUCCUGGCUGUCGUGAUGCCUAAAAAGCAUUAUAUAGCAAGGGCCGGGCAAGACCGGUGCCAGCCGCCGCGGUAACACCGGCGGCUCGAGUGGUAACCGCUAUUAUUGGGUCUAAAGGGUCUGUAGCCGGCUUGGUUAGUCUCUUGGGAAAUCCGGCAGCUUAACUGUCGGGCUUUCAGGAGAUACUGUCAGGCUCGAGACCGGGAGAGGUGAGAGGUACUUCAUGGGUAGGGGUGAAAUCUUGUAAUCCUUGAAGGACCACCAGUGGCGAAGGCGUCUCACCAGAACGGAUCUGACGGCAAGGGACGAAAGCUAGGGGCACGAACCGGAUUAGAUACCCGGGUAGUCCUAGCCGUAAACGAUACUCGCUAGGUGUCGGCCACGGUGCGACCGUGGUCGGUGCCGUAGGGAAGCCGUGAAGCGAGCCACCUGGGAAGUACGGCCGCAGGGCUGAAACUUAAAGGAAUUGGCGGGGGAGCAC
rnacentral:rRNA from 1 species